GCCAGGCAUGGUGGUGCAUGUCUGUAGUCCCAGCUACUUGGGGGGCUGAGGCAGGAGAAUCGCUUGAACCCAGGAGGAAGAGGCUGCAGUGAGCUGAGAUUGUGCCACUGCACUCCAGCCUGGGCGACAGAGUGAGACCCUGCCUCAA
ensembl:misc_RNA Metazoa_SRP Metazoan signal recognition particle RNA